rnacentral:rRNA from 1 species
UACGUAGGGUGCGAGCGUUGUCCGGAAUUAUUGGGCGUAAAGGGCUCGUAGGCGGUUUGUCGCGUCGGGAGUGAAAACCCAGGGCUUAACCCUGAGCCUGCUUCCGAUACGGGCAGACUAGAGGUAUGCAGGGGAGAACGGAAUUCCUGGUGUAGCGGUGAAAUGCGCAGAUAUCAGGAGGAACACCGGUGGCGAAGGCGGUUCUCUGGGCAUUACCUGACGCUGAGGAGCGAAAGCAUGGGGAGCGAACAGG